GAUGAACGCUAGCGGGAGGCUUAACACAUGCAAGUCGAGGGGCAGCACGAGAUAGCAAUAUUUUGGUGGCGACCGGCGCACGGGUGAGUAACACGUAUGCAACCUACCUCGUACGGGGGGAUAACCCGGAGAAAUUCGGACUAAUAUCCCAUAAUAAUAUUGAAAGGCAUCUUUUAAUAUUUAAAGCUCAGGCGGUACGGGAUGGGCAUGCGGAACAUUAGCUAGUUGGUAGGGUAACGGCCUACCAAGACUGCGAUGUUUAGGGGACCUGAGAGGGUUAUCCCCCACACUGGUACUGAGACACGGACCAGACUCCUACGGGAGGCAGCAGUGAGGAAUAUUGGUCAAUGGGCGCAAGCCUGAACCAGCCAUCCCGCGUGAAGGAAGAAGGCGCUAUGCGUCGUAAACUUCUUUUCCAGGGGGAGAAUUUUCCGGUCGUGACCGGAAUUGACGGUACUCUGGGAAUAAGCAUCGGCUAACUCCGUG
rnacentral:rRNA from 1 species